rnacentral:rRNA from 2 species
UUGGAUCCAGACUUUGAUUAUGGCUCAGGAUGAACGCUAGCUACAGGCUUAACACAUGCAAGUCGAGGGGAAACGACAUCGAAAGCUUGCUUUUGAUGGGCGUCGACCGGCGCACGGGUGAGUAACGCGUAUCCAACCUGCCCACCACUUGGGGAUAACCUUGCGAAAGUAAGACUAAUACCCAAUGAUAUCUCUAGAAGACAUCUGAAAGAGAUUAAAGAUUUAUCGGUGAUGGAUGGGGAUGCGUCUGAUUAGCUUGUUGGCGGGGUAACGGCCCACCAAGGCAACGAUCAGUAGGGGUUCUGAGAGGAAGGUCCCCCACAUUGGAACUGAGACACGGUCCAAACUCCUACGGGAGGCAGCAGUGAGGAAUAUUGGUCAAUGGACGAGAGUCUGAACCAGCCAAGUAGCGUGCAGGAUGACGGCCCUAUGGGUUGUAAACUGCUUUUAUAAGGGAAUAAAGUGAGUCUCGUGAGACUUUUUGCAUGUACCCUAUGAAUAAGGACCGGCUAAUUCCGUGCCAGCAGCCGCGGUAAUACGGAAGGUCCGGGCGUUAUCCGGAUUUAUUGGGUUUAAAGGGAGCGUAGGCCGGAGAUUAAGCGUGUUGUGAAAUGUAGACGCUCAACGUCUGCACUGCAGCGCGAACUGGUUUCCUUGAGUACGCACAAAGUGGGCGGAAUUCGUGGUGUAGCGGUGAAAUGCUUAGAUAUCACGAAGAACUCCGAUUGCGAAGGCAGCUCACUGGAGCGCAACUGACGCUGAAGCUCGAAAGUGCGGGUAUCGAACAGGAUUAGAUACCUUGGUAGUCCGCACGGUAAACGAUGGAUGCCCGCUGUUGGUCUGAAUAGGUCAGCGGCCAAGCGAAAGCAUUAAGCAUCCCACCUGGGGAGUACGCCGGCAACGGUGCAACUCAAA